GGCACGCGUCGCAACCGAGCUUCGUUCGUUCGUUAAUUGCAGUUAAUUAGAAUAGUUUAUUUGACGUGUACCAUUAUUUUACAUACCGAUCGAACGUCGAAAAAGCGAUAUCCGCGGGUAAAUUUAUUAACAUCGAUCACGCUCGACUACGAAAUAUAACUUAUUCUACCGCGUUCCUUAACCUAACAACCAUACAAGCCAUCGUUACUUUUGAUUAUAGAAUGGGAGAGAUACGACGUCUGGAUUUUCGUUUUCAAUUUUACUUAUUUACAAUGAGAAAUGGUGUUGGACACACGACGACGAGUGAUCGAAACAACAAGCACGUGGGGAAGCCAUUGCAAAGCUGACGUAACGCGCAUGCGCGACGAUACAGCUUCCUUGUUGCCGCUUAAUCCGCCAUUCUGAAUCAGUUCGUGGCACGUGUCCCAACCAAGCUUCGUCCUCUCGUUAAUUGCAGAAUGGAAGAGGUACGAUGUCCGGAUUAUCAAUUUUACUUACGUACAAUAAGAAGUGAUAUUCGAUACAGGACGACGAGUGGACGUAGAUUCUGUAAAUUUGUUCGUCAGCGUUAACAACACAGUGUGGCCCAUGUUCCUAGAAAAAAGCAAGAUGGAUUUGGCUAGAGUUCAACAGUUUAUACAUUCAUUCUUCGAUUAAGCAGUGUUCUUUCAGCGAAACUUCUUUUAGUAAUUUGCCGUCAGAGUAUAUUUUUUGUUCGAUUGUACAUUUUUUGGGAAGUGCGUUUUAUAUACGUGGAAUAGUUGAUAAUUCGGAAUUCAUUCAAAUUGAUUAACGUUGAUGUAACAUUAUUUCUUUAAUUUUACAUUAGUGGAUUUUACAUGGAUUCUUUCAACCUUCAUCGUCGUCAUGUGAUUAAUAAUCGACAUCAUCAGGAUAGGGAGGAGUUGUGCACGGUCGUCACCGCGCAGUUGAAUCUUUCUAGACGCAACCCACUUUUUAUCGAGCACUUGUUUAUGGUCGAGAUUUGUCUCGUACCAUAUUCUGUGCAUUUACGCUGGUUGCUCUGCCCUCGUCCAGCAUUAUAAAAUAACCGAGGACAUUCUACUCUCCUCCUUAUUUUUUAGACCUGCUUCAGAUGUCGUUAAUUGAUCUCACGUCGAGGACGAUCGAUGGGAAAAUCUAUGUACGCGAACGCGCUUAAUCUACAUUAUUUUAACGAGUCGUCUCGUCCGUCUUGGAAUAUCACUGCGAAAUAAAAAUUGUAGACUUUUCGUCGAUAGUACAUGACAGAACGAAUACUGCUUAAAUCACGGAGUGGAUGUAUCAUUCGACGGAUCGUUUCCUGAUUGCUGUAAUGCGGUUGACAGUUCUUUAGCCAUAAGAUAUUUUUGAAUUAUUCAUACUUUUACUGCAGCUGUAUUUCGUUUUGUAUUCUUCAGUUUAUUUUAUUGUGGGUUUCUCAGAAAACCGAUCUUCUUGAUUUCAUUCUUUUUUUUUCUUUUUUUCGACCAUUAAUAGUGCAGACCUGCGCUCUACUUAGAUAUGAUCUUAGAAGAAAUUCUACAAGAUAUUAUAUAGAAAUGAUCUAGGAGAAAUAUGUAAUUGCAUGCAGGCUUAUGUACAUUUUCCUUAAAAAUAUAGUUUUCACGCCUAGGAGCUUUAUUUUGAGAGAUAUUAAAUUGAAAAAUUUAUAUCAUAUUUUUAAUAUUCCGAUAUUUUCGUACAAAUAGAUCGAAAUGUUACAAGCACGUGGGGAAGCCAUUGCAAAGGUGACGUAAUGCGCAAGCGCGGCGGUCCACAGCCCCCUUGCUGCCUCAGAAUCCAUCAUUUUGAAUAAUUAUUGGCACGUGUUACGACCAAGCUUUUUUCUCUCGUUGAUUGCAGAAUGGAAGAGGUAGGACGUCCAGAUUUUCGUCAUCAAUUUUACUUAUUUACGAUAGUAAAUGGUGUUCGACACACAACAACGACUGGAUGUAGACGUGAUUUCUUUCGUUAUUGUUGACAUUACAUCGUGGCUAAUUUUCUUAAAAAUAAGCAAGAUGAAUUUAGUUACAUUCAAACAGAAUUGACAUCUUGACAGUACGAACGCUACUUAAAUCGUGGAAGGAAGCGUUCCUUGAUCUAACAACCAGCUAAGGAAUCAUUAUUUUCGAUGAUAGAAAGAAAGAAGUAUGAAGUUCAAAAUUUUCGUCAUCAGUUUUACUUAUCUAUGAUAAGCAAUGGUAUUGGACACAGGACGACAACUGAUAAGCAAUAGUUGACAUAUAUUAUUAUUUAUUUUCACGUUACCCUUUACGAUAACGUUUAGCUAAUUCUACAUUUAUUUUUUCAGGGUAUAGGCAUUGCGAUUUCGUCCGUUAUUGUUAACAAUGCAUCGUGGCCCGUGUUCCUUGAAAUAAGCAUGGUGAAUUUAGUUACAGUCGAACAGAAUUGACAUCUGUUUACACAUUCAUUCUUCGAUUAAACAGUGUUCUGUUAACGAUACUUUUACAUCGGAGUAUAUUUUUCUUCCGAUUACAUUUUUCAUUUAAUAUACAUCGAGUAGCUGAUAAUUCAAAGUUUAUUCAAGUUGGAUAACGUUAUCGUAACUUCAUUCCUUUAAUCGAUGAAAAAAUCUAUGUAAGCGAACGCGUCUUAAAUAACACUAUUUCAACGAAUCAUAUGGUCUCUCUUGAAAUAUCGCUGCGAAAUAGAAACGAUAGGCUUUUCGUCGAUAGUAUACGACAGAACGAACACUGCUUAAAUCGAAAUAUAUGUGUUAAUUGGGUCGUGGAUUCCCGGAUAGCAGUUCCCAAGUAUCACGCUCGUUAGAGCAACAUGGUUCUUUAUUCUCUUGCCUGAUGAGGAAUACUUAACAUUUUGAUAUUUUUAUUAUAACACUAUUUUUAUUAACUUUGUUAAUUUUUUUUUUUUUUUUCUUUUAGGAAGCCUAUGUUGCAAUUUCGUUCUACUGUUUGGAUACGGAUAAAAGAACAAUUCAACGCUCUAGUUGGAAAUGGUCUUUGUAAAAUUGCGACUCAUGGAAAGCCUCCUUCCUCUAGGAUCUAUCAUGAAUAUGAAGAUGAGAAAGGAAAGGAAAGGAGCCAGGAAGAUGCGAUGGAAGCAAUAACGAAGGAUGGAAUCUUGAAGAAUCUUCCAUUGGGUUAAAAUCAGCAGGAAAACAACGCUUCCUUCAUUUUACCGAACCGAAAGAAGACUCGCCUCUCCUUCGUGCGUAUUGCUUCUUUAAAUCUGCUUAAGCUCCAACGUUCUACGUAAUUCUCGGCGAUUUUGCGCACCCCUAAGCGUUUCUGCGUGACACCCUAAGCGAUCCUGCGAUACCCUGAGCGUUUCUGCGACACCCUCAGCGUUUCUGCGACACCCUCAGCGUUUCUGCGACACCCUGAGCGUUUCUGCGACACCCUCAGCGUACCUGCGCAAUCCCUAACGUCGUAUUCUGUUCAAUUCUCAGCGUUUUGCGUAACCACCAGCAUUUCAAACGAUUCCUCUGCUUUAGUCUUGCGCAUAAUUGCGAUGUUUUACGAAAAAUUACAAGACAGAAACAAAUUUGUUAGAAUCAUUGUUAUAAUAUUGUUGGAGUUUAUAGAGCGUUGAAAAAAAGAAACUUCAAUUGGAAGGUAGUACAUCAGUUGAUUUUUUCUUUCCGGAAUGUUAACAUAAAAUUGUUUUAUACUUCACAAGAUAUUACGUGCGGUGCAACGUUUAAGCGGUUGUAUUAUUGUUUAAAUCUUAUUUUAUAUCGACCAAUCGUAUAUUAUAGAUUCUUUAAAUAAUUGUAAAGUGAUAGAAAGCAUACAUAAAUUUGAUGCGUUAAGAGAAUUUUAGACCACCGUCGGUCGUAUCGAAAAUCGUCGUCCAGUAUUUAUCCGUAACAACAAACAUCUUUUUAGACAAUUCUUAGGAUAUCGCGUGACCCCAGCUUCGCGAAUAAUUGAAAUGCUCAUAUACUAAAAAAGAAAAAAUAUUAUUUUUAUCAUUGUAAUAAGAAAGCGUCGAAAAAAAAGAAGCUUAAAUAGAAGGCAGUAUGUAAGCAGAUUUCUGUUCUGCGAAACGUUCGAUUAAAAUUAUUUUCUACGUACUACGUGCGGUAUAAAACUUGAGCGGCGGGGUUGUAUUUUGUAAAUAUUAGUUUGAUACUACCGAGCGUACAUAUGUAGCGUACAUUGCUUAAAUGAUUGUAAAACGACAAAAAAUAAAAAUGAUCUAGGUUUAGCGCGGUUCAACGCGGUCCAACGCGUGUACCGGAAAUUUUAGGGCAUGGUAGAGCGUUUCAACUACCGUGAAUCCAUUCGUGCGUAAUUAAGCGUGUUGCGUAAUUCCGAACAGAUUGGCGUAACCCUUAGAAAUAUUGCGUAAACCCCUAACCCUUAUUUAGGUAAAUUCUCUGGCUCUGCCAGACGCAACCCAGCGAUUUCGCCCACUACGUGGUUUGGUGUAAGUAUCCAUUUGGCAAGGUAUGGUUUUUUUUACACGUAAGUCCUGUCGAUUUUUCGCAACGUCCAACGUGGACACCCAGAGUUUUGUCUUUUUCAGGUUAUCUGCAACCUCGGAGUUAUUUAUUUACCUACAUACUAUCGAGAUUACUGAAGCGAUGGUAUUUUUUUUUUGCAUAAUGUUAAGGGCAUUGCGUCGUUUUGAACGAAUGCUCGUAAUCAGUUUUUUUUUUUUUUUUUUUUUAUGAAGCCCACCGUAUCUAUAUAAUCCUUACAGAUUUUGUGUAAACCUUGGCGUGUAUUCAGCCGAACUUCUGUGGUCUAACUUCGGCGUAAUCCAGACGCGACCCAAUGAUUUGCAAUGACCGUGUAAUUUCCAGGAUAUCUGUAACGAUCAGCUUAUUAAUUCUAGAUAUUAACGAGGUUAUUUAGUCGAUAGCAUUUUUUGAAUAGUCCCUGAGGCGGUUGCAUUAUUUACGUAGACUAUACGAACUACCAGCAUCUUUAUAAAGCUCAUCGUUUCUGGGUAACCCUUACAGAUUUUGGCUUAUCCGACUGGCGAUUUGAAGUUAUCCGUAGUACCCAUCUUAUUUCCCUAGAUUCUAGAGAGGUUACUUAAACGACAACAUGGUUGCAUAAUCCCAGGGGCAUAUUCGUUAUUUCCUACGAAUCAAGUAACGACCAGCGUCUUCAUAAAGUGCAGCAUUUCUGUAUAUCCUCAUAGAUUUGUCGUCAAUCCUAGAACGUAUUUAGGUGGCCUCCGAGCGUCAGGCGUAACGUCAUAGUGUCCGCAUAAGCGAAUAAAUUUGUUUCUACCUAA